rnacentral:rRNA from 1 species
AUGGAUCUUGAGGUCCUGCAGCGUAUACUUGAUGGAAGAGAGAAGCCAACAAAUCUAUCAUUCACACUUUUGAAGAGUAUCACAGAAAAUUUCUCAGAUGAUCGAGAAAUUGGCCAUGGUGGAUUCGCAACAGUUUAUAAGGGAGUGCUCCCAAAUGGGAAUGUUGCUGUAAAGAGGAUAAGGAACUGCUAUACCAUCAAUGAGACCUUUUUUUAUCGAGAAGUUGACAGCAUGUUGAACAUUGAACAUAAAAAUGUCGUACGGUUUCUUGGCUUUUGUGCUAGCACAGACAAGAUAGCCAUACCAACCGGAGGAUCGAAAGAACAUAUUUACGCCGAGGUACGAGAAAGAUUACUCUGUUUUGAGUAUAUCAGCAAUGGAAGCCUGCAAAAAUAUAUUACUGAUGAAUUAAGGGGACUUGAAUGGAAUACACGUUAUAAAAUAAUUAGAGGCAUCUGCGAAGGUUUGCAUCAUCUGCACAAGGAAAAGCAGAUAUAUCAUAUGGAUCUGAAACCCGACAACAUACUUCUAGACAAUGAUAUGGUGCCGAAAAUCACAGAUUUUGGUUUAUCGAGACUUGAUGAGAAGUCAAAAACCAUGAGUGAAGAACGUCAUGGAUCACUAGGAUACUGUGCUCCAGAAUACCUACAUAAGGGAAAGAUGUCAUUCAAAUCAGACAUGUACAGUUUGGGCAUUAUAAUCAUCGAAUUAGUGACAGGAGAAAAGGAAAUCCGCAGUGAUAAUAACAAUGUACUUAGGAGAUGGAGGCAUAGAUGGAAGAAAACAGGGAAGGAAACACCAUUGGUUUACCAACAAGUUGCAAAAUGCCUUGAAAUUGGGUUAUUCUGCCAGGAAAUCGACCCAUCCAAACGACCUUAUAUAUGGCAUAUCAUACAUGUUAUAAGAGAAAUUGAAGGUGCUAAUGGAAAAAUCAGCAAUGCCUAUGAACAUACAUUUGGACAGAUAGGCCCUUACUCGGAAGAUGAUAUGCUUGGAAUUGAGCCAUUCCAACUACAUAAUCCUUUUGAGCGUAACAAACAGAUGUCGUGCACACUUAAGUUAACCAAUGAGACGGACUCUUACAUUGCCUUCAACGUCGAAAAGACGAGCCCCCUGCCAUACUGCGCACAGCCUCAGAAAGGGAUUAUGCUGCCACAAUCCAACUGUAAUGUUGAAAUAACAAUGCAGCUGCAGGGCAAGGCACCGGGAUAUAUGCAUCGUUCCAAUGAACUUAUUGUGUGGAGCACAAAAGUGAACGAUUGCCUUGCAGUUGAGGAUAUAACUACAAAUAUGUUCAUUAAUGAGGCGGACAACUUGGUUGAUGAGGUAAAUUUGGAUGUGAUUUUUGACACCAGCGAGUCACAAGAAACAAGUGACAAAACCUGUGAGGUGAGCUGUCAGAAUACUAACUUUGCAAAGUUUGCCUAUUCAAUUAGUGGCCAGCCUCCAGCGCAAAUGAUCUUUGGCUGUGGUGAGUGCCAAAUUAAUAGACGUCCAGAUCAAAUUGAUUUUUUGAUUAAUUUAAUACCACAAUAUAAGCAGUAG